UACAGAGGUCUCAAGCGUUGUUCGGAUUCAUUGGGCGUAAAGGGUGCGUAGGCGGCGCGGUAAGUCGGGUGUGAAAUCUCGGGGCUUAACUCCGAAACUGCAUUCGAUACUGCCGUGCUUGAGGACUGGAGAGGAGACUGGAAUUUACGGUGUAGCGGUGAAAUGCGUAGAUAUCGUAAGGAAGACCAGUGGCGAAGGCGGCCUGCUGGACCAUAACUGACACUCACAGGACGAAAGCUAGGGGAGCGAAUGGG
rnacentral:rRNA from 1 species